rnacentral:lncRNA from 1 species
CAGGUGUCUUAUGACGCGCAUCCACGUGACUUAGCUGUUGUUUUAUUUUUCUUGUAUGACGAAUACCUAUUGCCCGGUUGUAAAAUUAUCGCAAUUUUACGUAAAAAAUUACGCUAAAGGAUUGAUUGUAAACAUCGUUUGACGUGUUUCUACAAACGGUAAUGGAACUUUUGGCCAUUUCGUCUACGGAUUUGCGUCCACGCCACAUGGCAUUGUAAAGUGUUCUGGAUGGGUCAACAAAAUGGAUGUAUUUGGAAAUAAAUGAUGGGCUUUGCAGAACAAAUGAAAAUUUCUUGUGGAAGUGGGUGCCCAUCCGAGUGCAUUCCGCCGAAGAUCAGCAAAGACCUGAGCCCUGGGACCAUGCUUCAAGACUACCUGGCCUGAUGACUCCUUGCUGUCCCCAGUCCACCUGGUCGUGCUGCUGCUCCAGUUUCAACUGUUCUGCCUGCGGCUAUGGAACCCUGACCUGUUCACCGGACGUGCUACCUUGUCCCGGACCUGCUGUUUUCGACUCUCUCUCUACCGCACCUGCUGUCUCUAACUCUGAAUGCUCUGCUAUGAAAAGCCAACUGACAUUUACUCCUGAGGAGACUAUGAGAAAGGAGUAGGCCACCUGACCAAUCUUUAUGUGCUGGCAACGCCAGAAGCUCCUCCAGUGGACUUUACCACCUCCUGUGUCCCAGAUUUAGCUGAAACUGCCCACCAUUAGCUAGAUCAAUCAUCCAGAACCUUGUACCAUACAAGAUUUGGCAUGGGUCCCCAGAUCCUCAAAAGGUUCUACAGCUGCACCAUCGAGAGCAUCCUGACCGGUUGCAUCACCGCCUAGUAUGGCAACUGCUCGGCAUCUGACCGUAAGGGGCUACAGAGGGUAGUGCGUACGGCCCAGUACAUCACUGGGGCCAAACUUCCUGCCAUCCAGGACCUAUAUAAUAGGCGGUGUCAGAGGAAAGCCCAUAAAGUUGCCAGAGACUCCAGUCACCCAAGUCAUAGACUGUUUUCUCUGCUAUCGCACGGCAAGCGGUACCGGAGCACCAAGUCUAGGACCAAAAGGCUCCUUAACAGCUUCUACCCCCAAGCCAUAAGACUGCUGAACAAUUAAUCAAAUGGCCACCAGACUAUUUACAUUGAC